rnacentral:rRNA from 1 species
UACGGAGGGAGCUAGCGUUGUUCGGAAUUACUGGGCGUAAAGCGCGCGUAGGCGGCUUUGUAAGUUAGAGGUGAAAGCCCGGGGCUCAACCCCGGAAUUGCCUUUAAGACUGCAUCGCUUGAAUCCGGGAGAGGUGAGUGGAAUUCCGAGUGUAGAGGUGAAAUUCGUAGAUAUUGGGAAGAACACCAGUGGCGAAGGCGGCUCUCUGGACCGUAACUGACGCUGAGGCGCGAAAGCGUGGGGAGCAAACAGG